UUUUUUUUCUUUCUCUGAGGGAAUUUUAGCACUCAAGUAAUCAAGUCUUUCACUCAUUUUUUUUUAGAUGAAUUAAGCAUUCAGUGUUCUUAACUUUUCCUUUCUGCUUUCUCUAGCUCUCAGGUUUUGGAAAUUUGAUUUGUUUGCAUCCUCUGUGGGUUUCAGCAUUGUGUUUAAAAUGUGGACACCAGACCUUUAUGGGAUUUCAAAUACCCACCCCAUUAGUGCUACAUACAAAGGCAUAGCAUCACACUGGACACUUUAACAGUGAGCUGCUUCUCUUGCUACAGCUUCAGAUGAAAAUGAUCCACAAGAUCAUUUGUAAGUGUCAUACCACCAAUGAAGAGCUGGACAGACCUGAUUGAAAGAAACAAGACUGCAACUUUAUUUAGCAACAAUAACUGCGUAAGAGGAUCAGGCAGACAAUUCUUGCCAACAUCUCAUCUUGCUGUUUCUCCAUGUGACCUACAAGGCAGUAAGAAUCCACUGUGGUUUGAAAGAGGCCACUGAACACUGUAAGGCCAAACCGUCUCUUCAGAGGUGGCAUUCUUUUUGUGUCAUUAUAAUGACAUAAAAUGACAGAAAUUUUGUCAUAGUUGCACACUAGAGCUUGAUCAACCAAAUCUGAGAUGCCUAAGUUGAAACAAGUUAUUUUCUCAUUAAUUUGUUUAAUUUUUGACACUUGAACAUAUUAACGUUGUCUAAAAGUCAUCUCGUUUUGUGAAUCUUCU